CCUAUAUUUCAGGAUUUCCCAUAAUAUAUCGAUUCUUCUUAUUUCUUCAAAGCAAAAUUUCUCCAAUGCUCAUUGUAUGAAACAAUUUUCCAAAUAACUACACUAACAGUAUAUGUUUUUGAAAAUUGAAAUCUUGUUUAUCCCAAUGGUGGAAAACAACCAUAUUUUUGAGAUCAGUGACGAGGUCCACCCACUCGACUU
rnacentral:lncRNA from 1 species